GAGUUUGAUCGUGGCUCAGGAUGAACGCUGGCGGCGUGCUUAACACAUGCAAGUCGAACGGAGUACCCUCGAAGGAGUUUUCGGACAACUGAGAGGACUACUUAGUGGCGGACGGGUGAGUAACGCGUGAGUAACCUGCCUUGGAGUGGGAAUAACAGCUGGAAACAGCUGCUAAUACCGCAUGAUGCAGUUGGGCCGCAUGGCUCUGACUGCCAAAAGAUUUAUCGCUCUGAGAUGGACUCGCGUCUGAUUAGCUGGUUGGUGGGUAACGGCUCACCAAGGCGACGAUCAGUAGCCGGACUGAGAGGUUGGCCGGCCACAUUGGGACUGAG
rnacentral:rRNA from 1 species